CCUACGGGAGGCUGCAGUGAGGAAUAUUGGUCAAUGGGCGCGAGCCUGAACCAGCCAAGUCGCGUGAAGGAUGACUGCCCUACGGGUUGUAAACUUCUUUUAUCAAGGAAUAAAGUGAGGCACGUGUGCCUUUUGUAUGUACUUUCUGAAUAAGGAUCGGCUAACUCCGUGCCAGCAGCCGCGGUAAUACGGAGGGUCCGCGCGUUAUCCGGAUUUAUUGGGUUUAAAGGGAGCGUAGAUGGGUUGUUAAGUCAGUUGUGAAAGUUUGCGGGUCAACCGUAAAAUUGCAAUUGAUACUGGCAGUCUUGAGUACAGGUGAGGUAGGCGGAAUUCGUGGUGUAGCGGUGAAAUGCUUAGAUAUCACGAAGAACUCCGAUUGCGAAGGCAGCUUACUAAACUGCCACUGACAUUGAUGCUCGAAAGUGUGGGUAUCAAACAGGAUUAGAUACCCCGGUAGUC
rnacentral:rRNA from 1 species